rnacentral:rRNA from 1 species
UACGUAGGGUGCGAGCGUUGUCCGGAAUUAUUGGGCGUAAAGAGCUCGUAGGCGGUGUGUCGCGUCGGCCGUGAAAACCCGGGGCUCAACCCCGGGCCUGCAUUCGAUACGGGCAGACUAGAGUUCGGUAGGGGAGUCUGGAAUUCCUGGCGUAGCGGUGAAAUGCGCAGAUAUCAGGAGGAACACCGGUGGCGAAGGCGGGUCUCUGGGCCGAUACUGACGCUGGAGGAGCGAAAAGCGUGGGGAGCGAACAGG